AUACGUAGGGAGCAAGCGUUGUCCGGAUUUACUGGGCGUAAAGGGCGCGUAGGCGGCCUGUUAAGUGUGAAGUGAAAUCUCCGGGCUCAACCCGGAAACCGCUCUGCAAACUGGCAGGCUUGAGGAAGGUAGAGGUGAAUGGAAUUCCCGGUGUAGCGGUGACAUGCAUUGAUAUCGGGAGGAACACCCAUGGCGAAGGCAGUUCACUGGGCCUUUCCUGACGCUGAGGCGCGAAAGCGUGGGGAGCAAACAGGAUUAGAACCCCCAGUAGUCC
rnacentral:rRNA from 1 species